rnacentral:rRNA from 1 species
GUGUCAGCAGCCGCGGUAAUACGUAGGGUGCAAGCGUUAAUCGGAAUUACUGGGCGUAAAGCGUGCGCAGGCGGUUAUAUAAGUCAGAUGUGAAAUCCCCGGGCUCAACCUGGGAACUGCAUUUGAGACUGUAUAGCUAGAGUACGGUAGAGGGGGAUGGAAUUCCGCGUGUAGCAGUGAAAUGCGUAGAUAUGCGGAGGAACACCGAUGGCGAAGGCAAUCCCCUGGACCUGUACUGACGCUCAUGCACGAAAGCGUGGGGAGCAAACAGGAUUAGAUACCCUGGUAGUCCACGCCCUAAACGAUGUCAACUGGUUGUUGGGUCUUAACUGACUCAGUAACGAAGCUAACGCGUGAAGUUGACCGCCUGGGGAGUACGGCCGCAAGGUUGAAACUUAAAGGAAUUGACGGGG